UGGCUCAGGAUGAACGCUAGCGGCAGGCUUAACACAUGCAAGUCGAGGGGCAGCGUGGAGCAGCAAUGCUCUGACGGCGACCGGCGGAAGGGUGCGUAACACGUGAGCGACUUGCCCGUCACAGGGGGAUAACCGGCGGAAACGGCGACUAAUACCCCAUAUGAUGCGAUGCUGCAUGGCAUCGCAUUGAAAGAUUCAUCGGUGGCGGAUAGGCUCGCGGGACAUUAGCUGGACGGCGGGGCAAUGGCCCACCGUGGCGACGAUGUCUAGGGGUUCUGAGAGGAAGACCCCCCACACUGGGACUGAGACACGGCCCAGACUCCUACGGGAGGCAGCAGUGAGGAAUAUUGGUCAAUGGACGCAAGUCUGAACCAGCCAUGCCGCGUGCAGGAUGACGGCUCUAUGAGUUGUAAACUGCUUUUGUAUGAGGGUAAACGCAGAUACGUGUAUCUGUCUGAAAGUAUCGUACGAAUAAGGAUCGGCUAACUCCGUGCCAGCAGCCGCGGUAAUACGGAGGAUUCAAGCGUUAUCCGGAUUUAUUGGGUUUAAAGGGUGCGUAGGCGGUUUGAUAAGUUAGAGGUGAAAUUUCGGGGCUCAACCCUGAACGUGCCUCUAAUACUGUUGAGCUAGAGAGUAGUUGCGGUAGGCGGAAUGUAUGGUGUAGCGGUGAAAUGCUUAGAGAUCAUACAGAACACCGAUUGCGAAGGCAGCUUACCAAACUAUAUCUGACGUUGAGGCACGAAAGCGUGGGGAGCAAACAGGAUUAGAUACCCUGGUAGUCCACGCAGUAAACGAUGAUAACUCGUUGUCGGCGAUACACAGUCGGUGACUAAGCGAAAGCGAUAAGUUAUCCACCUGGGGAGUACGUUCGCAAGAAUGAAACUCAAAGGAAUUGACGGGGGCCCGCACAAGCGGAGGAACAUGUG
rnacentral:rRNA from 1 species